rnacentral:rRNA from 1 species
AGACGGGUGAGUAAUGCCUAGGAAAUUGCCUUGAUGUGGGGGAUAACCAUUGGAAACGAUGGCUAAUACCGCAUAAUGCCUACGGGCCAAAGAGGGGGACCUUCGGGCCUCUCGCGUCAAGAUAUGCCUAGGUGGGAUUAGCUAGUUGGUGAGGUAAUGGCUCACCAAGGCGACGAUCCCUAGCUGGUCUGAGAGGAUGAUCAGCCACACUGGAACUGAGACACGGUCCAGACUCCUACGGGAGGCAGCAGUGGGGAAUAUUGCACAAUGGGCGAAAGCCUGAUGCAGCCAUGCCGCGUGUAUGAAGAAGGCCUUCGGGUUGUAAAGUACUUUCAGUUGUGAGGAAGGGGGUAGCGUUAAUAGCGCUAUCUCUUGACGUUAGCAACAGAAGAAGCACCGGCUAACUCCGUGCCAGCAGCCGCGGUAAUACGGAGGGUGCGAGCGUUAAUCGGAAUUACUGGGCGUAAAGCGCAUGCAGGUGGUUCAUUAAGUCAGAUGUG